ensembl:snoRNA
GGGACCAAUGAUGAUGACUGGUGGCGGACGAGUCGUGUACGAUGAAUGCUACGUGUCUGGAAGUCUGAGGUCCAA